AGAAUCAACGCUGGCGGCGUGCCUAACACAUGCAAGUCGAACGAGAAAGUGGAGCAAUCCAUUAGUAAAGUGGCGCACGGGUGAGUAACACGUGACUAACCUACCCUUGAGUGGGGGAUAACCUAGGGAAACCUGGGCUAAUACCGCAUAAUACCUUCGGGUCAAAGGAGCAAUUCGCUUAAGGAGGGGUCGCGGCCGAUUAGUUAGUUGGCGGGGUAAUGGCCCACCAAGACUAUGAUCGGUAU
rnacentral:rRNA from 1 species